rnacentral:lncRNA from 1 species
CUAGCUUAUGAGGUGAGGAUUGCUCAAGUCAUAUAAGGAGACCAAGGACCUCAAAUCCCUCCGAUGUGAGAUAACUUUAACACCCCCUCACGCCCAGACCUUUGGAACGUGGACAACAUAAAUGGGAGCCCAACAUCGAUAAGAAUAAUUAGGAUGGGUCUAGUUCUGAUACCACGAUAAGAAUGGACCUUGGGCCUAACUCAACCCCAAAAAGCUAGCUUAUGAUGUCAGAAUUGCCUAAGCCAUAUAAGGAGACCAAGGACCUCAAAUCACUCCGAUGUGGGACAACUCGAAAAUCGGGCUUCUUAUACUAUGGAGUAUAGACGAGAAGGAGGUCGUUUUGGAAGAUCUCGACCCAAGUGUUCUUAUUGUUAUAAACUUGGUCACACUCGUGACGUGUGUCAUUCUUUCAUGGUAUCAGAGCCAGGCCCAUCCCAAUUAUUGAUACCGAUGUUGAGCCCCCAUUUAUGUUGUCCACGCUCCAGAGAUCUGGGUGUGAGGGGGGUGUUGAGUUGUCCCACAUCGGAGGGAUUUGAGGUCCUUGGUCUCCUUAUAUGGCUUGAGCAAUCCUCACCUCAUAAGCUAGCUUUUGGGGUU